GGGGACGACUUGGCUUCGACGAGGGUCGCGAAACCUGAGGUGCAUGCCGAGAAUGUAGAAAACCUCGUUAAAUCUUCUGCAAAUUAUAGUUGCCAACGACGACAACUACGCACUCGCCGCUUAAUAACCGGUAGAUUGCUGUCGGACUGGAGCCGUGUCUAUGCGUCCAGGUUCU
rnacentral:tmRNA from 1 species